GACGAACGCUGGCGGCGGGCCUAAUACAUGCAAGUCGAACGAACACAUGGGGAGCUUGCUCGUCCGAGGUUAUCGCCCGACGGGACAGUAAUAUGGGGUUAACCUACCUCUGAGAAUGGGAUGACAUUGGGGAAUCUGAGCUAAUAGCGGAUAAUAUAUUGAACUUCAUGGUUCAAUCGUCAAAGACGGUUUUUGUGGCACUUACAGAUGGACCCGCGCCGCAUUAGCUAGUUGGUUAGGUGACUGCUUACCAAGGCUACGAUGCGAAACCGCCCUGAGAGGGAGAACGGCUACACUGGCACUGAGACACACUCCCGACACCGACGCGAAGCAGCGGUCGGGAAUCUUACGCGAUGGGCGAGAGGCUGACGGAGCACCGCCGCGUAAGUGAUGAAGCACUUCGGAUCGUAAAACUCUGUAAUUAUGAAAAAACAAAUGUUUAAUUAACUAUGCACAUCUUGACGGUACCUAAUCAAAAAGCCACGGCUAACUACGUG
rnacentral:rRNA from 1 species